UUGCAUGUGGAAAUAUGUCUGCUCCUCAUUCCUUUGGGAGCAGAAAUACCUCCAUAACAUGCUACAUGAAAGGAGUUCUCAGGGCUGCCAACCUUACAGGACAGGUUGAGCAGUAGUAUAUUUCUCCUACAUAA